UGAUUACCAACGAGUUGACUGAAAGAUCCUCGAGUUUAUUCCAAGCAAGAGCGCCUGGCAAGUUCCCUGGCCUUCUUCGAACGCCUCUUGUUCUCAUGGGCGCCUCCCUUUUUUGGUCUCUCCAUUGCAGAUCUCUUUCUCGAGGCUUCCCUUCCUUGCUUUUUGUUCUAGAAUUCGACAAGAUCGCCUUGGGAGCUACUCACCGAUGGCCGCCUCGAGAGUCUGAAAGGAUUGAAUCUUUAGAAAUUCUUAUUUGACCGUCGCUAGAUCGAGGGUCUUCGUUCUGAGAGAUCUACUUGAAGAUCUUUCAAAUAACCGCUUCGUUUUUGCGGGAUCUGCUGCCGUAUCAAUUAUAGGGCAUGGCGUUGAAACUGCCUUUGAACCGGGACUCCGGAGCCAAUUCACAGGUUCGCAGUCUCAGAGUUAGUGAUUUCACGGGAAGGCUUACUGGUCCACGCGUAGGUGCUGUAUCUAUUAAUGAUCUCAGAGUUCAUGAUUGCUGGAGAUGUUGUUGUUAAGAUCAAUUGUGGCAGGUCGUUCCAUGUAUCUUGUUGAUGUAAAUGGAUGUAUAGGACGGAAAGGCCCGAGUCUGAGUGUGGCUUAUGAGUCCUGAUCCAUCUUUGUCAUCCGACCUUUGCCAUGACAGGUGCGCUUGCAUGGCAGGUCACAAAAAAGCAUAAUAAAAAAAGUUAUACGUUUUUUGGUUUCAGGGGGAGAUCGCACGGGAGUUUGCCCGGGAUCUCCCCACCGGUGUGUGCCGUUUCCCUGUGCUGCUUUUUCUGUGUUCAUUUAUAUUUUCGCUUGCGACGCCCAUGGUUGCCUACCAGAAGCAAAGGGUAAGCUGAACUACACCAGCAACGUUACAACUCAUACACUAGCAAUUCACAUGGAUUUUGAGGUAUACUCUUUAUAUCAUAUUUUCCCUUUGUUGCAUUUGAGACGUAUGGGCCACUCAAUAUAUUAAAUUCAUUCAACAACAUAUUUUAAAAGUACAGACAAACUAUAGGUCCAUUCCCAUAUAACUAUUCUUGUUGCUCAAUAAAAUUUGAAAAAUAGAAAAGAUAAAUCUUAAUGAUUGUCUGUUGGAAAUCUUGUCGUUGGCGUUCGUCAAAUCAACUUUGUGCUUCAAUGAUAAAGUUUUGUGUUUUGUUAUAUGCAAAGGAUCGCUACAAUUUUUGCCCAAAUAGGACGGAACAAAGUAGUUCAGUUGUAUGCUGUAGGUGUUGAUCCUUUGGUACCCGAUGCCUCAAGUAUGAUAAGGGAAUCAUUAAAAGUAUAUGUUCAUUAUCAAUGGACUUCAGGUAUUUCAGUGGCUGCAAUUACUUUUAAGUUCUAGGAAUAGUUCACUACUUGCAUAUCUCAAGAUGCCAUAGUUUCUUGAUGGCAUCUCAACUCUGUUUCUAAUUAAGGGUUCAAUGGCUGCAAUUCCUGUGAGUUCUAGAAAAAUAUUCAGUUAUAAUGUUGCAAUGUUUCCCUCGUAAUUCUUGGUUUUGGUUUGGCCAACGAUUAUCUAUCGCUUGUGCUCUUUGUAGCGAAUAUGAAAUUGGAGCCUGUAAGGCAAUCAUGUAUGUCUUGGAAUCAAAUGGUUUGUAUAUCAGUA